GACGAACGCUGGCGGUGUGCUUAACACAUGCAAGUCGAACGGAAAGGCCCUGCUUUUGUGGGGUGCUCGAGUGGCGAACGGGUGAGUAACACGUGAGUAACCUGCCCUUGACUUUGGGAUAACUUCAGGAAACUGGGGCUAAUACCGGAUAGGAGCUCCUGCUGCAUGGUGGGGGUUGGAAAGUUUCGGCGGUUGGGGAUGGACUCGCGGCUUAUCAGCUUGUUGGUGGGGUAGUGGCUUACCAAGGCUUUGACGGGUAGCCGGCCUGAGAGGGUGACCGGCCACAUUGGGACUGAGAUACGGCCCAGACUCCUACGGGAGGCAGCAGUGGAGAAUAUUGCACAAUGGGCGGAAGCCUGAUGCAGCAACGCCGCGUGCGGGAUGACGGCCUUCGGGUUGUAAACCGCUUUCGCCUGUGACGAAGCGUGAGUGACGGUAAUGGGUAAAGAAGCACCGGCUAACUACGUG
rnacentral:rRNA from 1 species